AAACCAUACAUCAAUGGAAAGCUUAUUUAUAUAAAUUUAUAUAAAUCUCAAUUUAAAAAGAUUGACCCUUAUGACUGGUUUUGUGUUCCAGGGUCACAAUUGAAAUACUUUUGUAAAUGCAACAUGUUAACUGACUUAUCCUCGCCAACUGUUUUCAUAUCAGAGAAAAAUUACACAGGAGCCUCAAAAAAGGAUGAUGAGCAAUCAUCCGUGUCUACUGAGGACUGUUCUAGAGGCAUCUAUUUCAAACUGACCCUCCUAUUUGGUGGAAUAAUUUUUUUUACAUGUAUUGUUCCUCUUAUUUUGGCGAUUAUCAGGGAACACAGAAGACAGAAGCAUAACAAAGGUAAACUCUUUACACAUUGUUAGAAAAAUUAAGUUAAAUCACAAAUGCGGAGUGAAUAUUAAAAAUGGCUUUGAAAUUAUGCCUUUUUUUUAAUUUCAACUGAUUGUCUUUUUCUCUGCUUUGUAGCUGUCACUGAUUGUCAAGCACAACAGCAUAAUGACAAGGAAAAUGAUUCAGUAGAAUAUGCUGCUGUGUAUUUCUCAAAAAAGAGACUCAAAACAACAGGACGGCAUACUAAGGACCCAAUUGCUGUGUACAGUAAUACUACUUGAAAAAGGAAACAUAUUCAAACA